rnacentral:rRNA from 1 species
GAUGAACGCUGGCGGCGUGCCUAAUACAUGCAAGUCGAGCGAACGGACGAGGAGCUUGCUCCUCUGAUGUUAGCGGCGGACGGGUGAGUAACACGUGGAUAACCUACCUAUAAGACUGGGAUAACUUCGGGAAACCGGAUCUAAUACCGGAUAAUAUAUUGAACCGCAUUGUUCAAAAGUUAAAGACGGUCUUGCUGUCACUUAUAGAUGGAUCCGCGCUGCAUUAGCUAGUUGGUAAGGUAACGGCUUACCAAGGCAACGAUGCAUAGCCGACCUGAGAGGGUGAUCGGCCACACUGGAACUGAGACACGGUCCAGACUCCUACGGGAGGCAGCAGUAGGGAAUCUUCCGCAAUGGGCGAAAGCCUGACGGAGCAACGCCGCGUGAGUGCUGAAGGUCUUCGGAUCGUAAAACUCUGUUAUUCGGGAAGAACAAAUGUGUAAGUAACUGUGCACAUCUUGACGGUACCUAAUCAGAAAGCCACGGCUAACUCCGUG